GACAGAGGCCUCAAGCGUUAGGCGGAAUCACUGGGCUUAAAGCGUGUGUAGGCGGACUUCUAAGUGCCUUGUGAAAUCCCACGGCUCAACCGUGGAACUGCUGGGCAUACUGGGGAGUCUUGGGCCAUUCAGGGGCAACUGGAACAAGCGGUGGAGCGGUGAAAUGCGUAGAUAUCGCUUGGAACGCCGGAAGGUGAAAACAGGUUGCUGGGGAUGUG
rnacentral:rRNA from 1 species